rnacentral:lncRNA from 1 species
AUACUAUGUGUUCUUUGAAAAUUUUGUGACUAUCGAAGCUAGUCUUAAACAGAAAGGUCACAAGUCUCAAAGAGAGGAACUGGAUGCUAUACUUUUUAUUUUUGAGAAAAUUUUACAACUUCUUCCAGAAAGAAUUCAUCAGCCAUGGCAGUUUCAUAAUAUUGGAUUGAUUUAAAGAAGCUACUUCACACAGGAGACUCCUUAAAGAUUAGGCGGGAAGG